rnacentral:tRNA from 1 species
GGUGGCUCAGUGGUAGAGUGCUUGUCUUGCAUGCAUGAGGCUCUGGGUUCGAUUCCUAAGCACCA